rnacentral:rRNA from 1 species
UACGUAGGGUGCGAGCGUUGUCCGGAAUUAUUGGGCGUAAAGAGCUCGUAGGCGGCCUGUUGCGUCCGCUGUGAAAGCCCGGGGCUUAACCCCGGGUCGGCAGUGGAUACGGGCAGGCUAGAGGUAGGUAGGGGAGAAUGGAAUUCCCGGUGUAGCGGUGAAAUGCGCAGAUAUCGGGAGGAACACCGGUGGCGAAGGCGGUUCUCUGGGCCUUACCUGACGCUGAGGCGCGAAAGCGUGGGGAGCGAACAGG